rnacentral:rRNA from 1 species
UGGGCAAUCUGCCCUUCACUCUGGGACAAGCCCUGGAAACGGGGUCUAAUACCGGAUACUGACCCUCGCAGGCAUCUGCGAGGUUCGAAAGCUCCGGCGGUGAAGGAUGAGCCCGCGGCCUAUCAGCUUGUUGGUGAGGUAAUGGCUCACCAAGGCGACGACGGGUAGCCGGCCUGAGAGGGCGACCGGCCACACUGGGACUGAGACACGGCCCAGACUCCUACGGGAGGCAGCAGUGGGGAAUAUUGCACAAUGGGCGAAAGCCUGAUGCAGCGACGCCGCGUGAGGGAUGACGGCCUUCGGGUUGUAAACCUCUUUCAGCAGGGAAGAAGCGAAAGUGACGGUACCUGCAGAAGAAGCGCCGGCUAACUACGUGCCAGCAGCCGCGGUAAUACGUAGGGCGCAAGCGUUGUCCGGAAUUAUUGGGCGUAAAGAGCUCGUAGGCGGCUUGUCACGUCGGUUGUGAAAGCCCGGGGCUUAACCCCGGGUCUGCAGUCGAUACGGGCAGGCUAGAGUUCGGUAGGGGAGAUCGGAAUUCCUGGUGUAGCGGUGAAAUGCGCAGAUAUCAGGAGGAACACCGGUGGCGAAGGCGGAUCUCUGGGCCGAUACUGACGCUGAGGAGCGAAAGCGUGGGGAGCGA